CUAUUACGUGCUGUAGUUCAUCCGCAAUUCAACAGUGUUUACGUCGGAAGGAUCGUCGUGCAGUCGACGCCGCGACCUGACAUGAAGGAGCGUUUGCCGACUACGCCUAGAAAGGGAUGUCAAGAUUUCGUGAACCAGAGGCAUCUCUACACCGCAUAGGAACCUAAGACAUUUCUGCAGCCGGAACAGCACGGCAAAGCAUCUGAUCUGCAUGCUGCGACAAGGUAUGGCUGGGCCUGGUGAUGAAGUGUAAGCAGAACAUGCUAUGCUGCGAAUUGGUGCGAAUCUUCACAUCCGAGUUGUUCCCACGACAGUCAAGCACCAGUGUGAUUUGCUUCAUUGGCAAGGUAAUAUACUAUGGUGAGCUUGCACCUCAAUAUUGGUAUUGAAAAAUAUGUCAAGUAAAAGA